AUUGAACGCUGGCGGCAGGCCUAACACAUGCAAGUCGAGCGGAGCGGCGGACGGGUGCGUAAUGCCUAGGACUCUGCCUGGUAUUGGGGGAUACCGUCAGGAACCGGGCGCUAAUACCGCAUACUAUCCGCUUAGCCUCGGUCGGAUUGGCUAGUUGGUGGGGUAAAGGCCUACCACGGCGACGACCCGUACCUGGUCUGAGAGGAUGAUCAGUCACACUGGAACUGAGACACGGUCCAGACUCCUACGGGAGGCAGCAGUGGGGAAUAGUGGACAAUGGGCGAAAGCCUGAUGCAGCCAUGCCGCGUGUGUGAAGAAGGCCUUCGGAUUGUAAAGCACUUUAAGUUGGGAGGCGUUACCAACAGAAGAAGCACCGGCUAACUUCGUGCCAGCAGCCGCGGUAAUUC
rnacentral:rRNA from 1 species